UACGUAGGGGGCAAGCGUUGUCCGGAAUCAUUGGGCGUAAAGCGCGUGUAGGCGGCUUGGUAAGUCCGCUCUGAAAGCCCGGGGCUCAACCCCGGGAGGCGGGUGGAUACUGUCAAGCUCGAGUCCGGAAGAGGCGAGUGGAAUUCCUGGUGUAGCGGUGAAAUGCGCAGAUAUCAGGAGGAACACCAAUGGCGAAGGCAGCUCGCUGGGACGUGACUGACGCUGAGAAGCGAAAGCAUGGGGAGCGAACAGG
rnacentral:rRNA from 1 species